GCCUCCGUGGCUUAAUUGGGAAAACACCCGAUUAUGGUGCGGAAGGAUUCGGGUUCGAACUGUGGUGGAGGCA